AUGGUGGUCAGCGGCGCGCGCUGCGCCGCGGUGCUAUUGCUCGCCUUCGCGGCUGCCCGAGCUGUCCCCGACGUAGACGGCCCGCUGCUGAACGGCAACUUCGAGUACCAGCCGAACAGGUCGCAGAUGAACGGCACGAGGGUGACGGGCGCGCACGCCAUCCCCUACUGGAAGGCCACCGGCCCCGUGGAGUACGUCGAGUCUGGGACGGACCGGCCGGGCGACGGCAUGGUCCUGGUGGUGCCGGAGGGCGCGCACGCCGUGCGCCUCGGCAGCGGCGCCUCUGUCCGGCAGCAGCUCAGCCUCACCCGCGGCGCCUGCUACUCCGUCACCUUCAGCGCCGCGCGCACCUGCGGCCAGUCCGAGCGCCUCCGCCUCUCCGUCGUCCCCGUCGACGCCGCCGACGCGCCCGGCCGCGAGCUGCCCAUCCAGACCGUGUACAGCGCCAGCGGCUGGGACUCGUACGCCUGGGCCUUCCAUGCCGAGCGCGGCGUCGUCACGCUCGUCAUCCACCACGGCGACGACGGCGACGCGGAAGACCCCGCCUGCGGGCCCCUGGUCGACGCCGUCGCCAUCAAGACCCUCCACCCUGCCGCCCAGGCCGCCGGCGGCAACCUGCUGAGGAAUGGGGGCUUCGAGGAGGGGCCGUACGUCGUCCCGGGGUCGACGUGCGGGGUGCUGGUGCCGCCCAUGGACGAGGACGCCGUGUCGCCGCUGCCCGGGUGGAUGGUCAUGUCCUACUCCAAGGCGGCCAAGUACGUCGACGCGGCGCGCCACGCGGUGCCCGGCGGGUCGCGCGCCGUGGAGCUGGUGGCCGGCGUGGAGGCGGCGCUGGUGCAGGAGGUGGACACCGUGCCGGGGAGCGCGUGCCGGAUGGAGUUCUCCGUCGGGGACGCCGGGGACGGGUGCGUGGCGUGCGGGCCGGAGCUGCAGCCCAUGCGCGUGGUGGCGGCGGCCACGGGGGCGCAGGGGACCGCCACCGUGGAGUACCAUUCCCGGGGCACGGGCGGGCACGCGCGCGGCGAGCUGGCGUUCACGGCGGAGGGGAGCCGCACGCGGGUGGUGCUGUAUAGCUCCGGUUACCACACCAUGUCCGACGGCAGCGGCUCGCUCUGCGGGCCGGUCGUCGACGACGUCUCGCUCGUCUGCGCUUAG
rnacentral:rRNA from 1 species